rnacentral:rRNA from 1 species
AAUGGGGGAAACCCUGAUGCAGCAACGCCGCGUGAGUGAUGAAGGUUUUCGGAUCGUAAAGCUCUGUCUUUGGGGAAGAUAAUGACGGUACCCAAGGAGGAAGCCACGGCUAACUACGUGCCAGCAGCCGCGGUAAUACGUAGGUGGCGAGCGUUAUCCGGAUUUACUGGGCGUAAAGGGAGCGUAGGCGGAUGAUUAAGUGGGAUGUGAAAUACCCGGGCUCAACUUGGGUGCUGCAUUCCAAACUGGUUAUCUAGAGUGCAGGAGAGGAGAGUGGAAUUCCUAGUGUAGCGGUGAAAUGCGUAGAGAUUAGGAAGAACACCAGUGGCGAAGGCGACUCUCUGGACUGUAACUGACGCUGAGGCUCGAAAGCGUGGGGAGCAAA